rnacentral:rRNA from 1 species
UACGUAGGGUGCAAGCGUUAUCCGGAAUUAUUGGGCGUAAAGAGCUCGUAGGCGGUUUGUCGCGUCUGCUGUGAAAACCCGAGGCUCAACCUCGGGCCUGCAGUGGGUACGGGCAGACUAGAGUGCGGUAGGGGAGACUGGAAUUCCUGGUGUAGCGGUGAAAUGCGCAGAUAUCAGGAGGAACACCGGUGGCGAAGGCGGGUCUCUGGGCCGGUACUGACGCUAAGGCGCGAAAGCGUGGGGAGCGAACAGG